rnacentral:rRNA from 1 species
UACGAAGGGUGCAAGCGUUACUCGGAAUUACUGGGCGUAAAGCGUGCAUAGGUGGUUUGUUAAGUCUGAUGUGAAAGCCCUGGGCUCAACCUGGGAAUUGCAUUGGAUACUGGCAGGCUAGAGUGCGGUAGAGGAUGGCGGAAUUCCCGGUGUAGCAGUGAAAUGCGUAGAGAUCGGGAGGAACAUCUGUGGCGAAGGCGGCCAUCUGGACCAGCACUGACACUGAGGCACGAAAGCGUGGGGAGCAAACAGG